rnacentral:tRNA from 1 species
GCAGCCGUGGCAGGUGUUCGCUGUUGGCUCGCUGUCGCCUGGCCCCGGCCAUGAUCUGCUCGGCUUCGGUGCGGGCCCGGGCGAGUACU